AGGUUGGAGUUUAACAGGGUUGAAAUCUUCAAGAAAAAUUCUUUCUAAUUUCAUGGAAAUCUUCAAGAGGAAGAUGGGUCGGAGAGGCAAGCAGUUAGCUGACCUGCUACAACAGACAACGAGCACUGAGCCAACAGCCAUUAGAAGCCUUGUCCUGAGAGGACUUAAAGUCAUUCUUAGGGACAAUGCAUCCAUGUUCUUUCAGAGCAAUUUGAAUCUUAAUGAGGGAGACUCCGGCGACAUUCCAGUGGCAUUACUCUGCUAUGAGGACAACAGCGCUGCAAGCCCAGCAUCACCACAACUAAACCCUUCAUGAGUGGGAAUCAUCCUAGAGGGCAGCCCUGUAAUGGACACACUCACCAACCUACCUCAAGCAAUGUGCCUCUUGUUUGGCUUUACCUCCACACUCCACCUGCACUACCUGAGGAGCAUGAACACCUUUACCUUCAUUCAGCAGGUCAUAAUAAAUUCAGGCCGAAGAGAGCUACCUCCAAAGACUCAAAAGCUGAAGAAUGAGCUUGCAGUGCAAGGCACAACUCUUCAAGCCCAUGUCUGGAUUAUUGCACCGUUAAAUUGCACUGACUGAAACAAAUAUUCAUGCUGUUGCUCAUUUUGUAUGUGAUUCCUCUUGUACAAGAUGCAUCUAGUAUUGUUUAUUUUACUAAAAUUAUUCCACAGAGGACAUAUUUUAGAAAGUUGCAGUUUUUUUUAAACCCAU